AAAAAUCUGGAUUUGAACACACGCUUUCUCGGUUCGGAACCUGUUAUGGAGGCGUUUAGGGCGAAACGCGAUAAGUGAGCCAACCUGCGCAAACAGUUCGGCUCCGACUGGCUGGUCACUCAGCGAGCCGAGAGGCCACUCAGCACGAUCGGAAGGACGAUCGUGCUCUCUUGGAUUAAGGCGGUCGAGCGGGACGGUCACACCAAAAAGGGCAUUUAGGAUUAAUAAAUUAUAUUAUUGUAUUGUAUCGUUUUAAAUAAGUACAAUAUCGUUUUAGCAAGCCCCGCAAUAUCACAAAAGUGGCGACGAGAAAAGUUAAUGUGAUCGUUUCGUGUUGUUAAGUGCUGACCAAUUUUUAAUUCGUUUUGUUCGUUUUCUUCCGUGUCCCGCUCACACACAUACACCCACACAAUCCCAACCAGCAAAACCGAAGCUAUUGGAAAACUUUCCUGUGUGCCAAAGCGAGAGAGCAUGUCUUCUUUCUCUAGAUUUUGGACGGCACAACGCCGAUCGUGUGGCCUAUGAACGAAAAACGGGAGAAGGGGAAACCGAUAUCCUUCGAGUGACACACACGCAUGCAUCUGCAUGCGUAUUCCGCUGAACCGAGACUACACAUCUCUCUCGAUCUCCCAUGAUUUUUCUGCUAUCGCGCUCAUCCGGGUGUUAGGCAUCCUCAGUCUGUCCAGAACUUUCACUGUGGAAGGAUGUGUUGGAGUGAUGUGUGAUUUCUUGUGCCCCGUACUUUGCUCGUUUACGUUUUGUGCCGUGUUCCUUCUUCUUCAAAUAUGGAAUGAUUUAUCCUUGUAAAUUUCUAAGUUACAGUGCACGCGCAUGUUAAUCGACGGUUGCCAACAUCCCGCAAAACGAUCGACAGAAGGAAAACGGUGUCCGGUUUUAAAAUAUAAAGAUUUCAUUACAGCUCUUUCGUAGAAGAGCGCACUUCAAGAACGCCUAGGAUACGGCUAAACAUGCGCAGCACCAGUCCGUGACGUCAUUUCCAGACAGGCGCCGGCUGAACACGCGCAGCACCAGUCGAGGAUAUCCUAGCGCAGAGGGUAGAAGGAAGAACGAGAGGAAGGGUAAUAGAAAGCAACCGCAGCAUUUGGAAGGGGUGAAGCAUCCUGCCGUAUACAGAGUGUGAGUGUGCCAAAACGCAUGUGGAAAGAGUAACACCAAUAAAUAGCAUGCGAAAGUGUGCAUAAAGCAAAAAGAAAAAGCGUCACUACUACAACCAGCAAUCCGA